rnacentral:rRNA from 1 species
CUACAUGAAGCUGGAGUUACUAGUAAUCGCAGAUCAGAAUGCUGCGGUGAAUGCGUUCCCGGGUCUUGUACACACCGCCCGUCACACCACGGAAGUUGGGGGCGCCCGAAGCCACUUAGCUAACCCUUUGGGAAGCGAGUGUCGAAGGUGAAAUCAAUAACUGGGGUGAAGUCGUAACAAGGUAAC